rnacentral:rRNA from 1 species
CACGUAGGGCGCGAGCGUUGUCCGGAAUUAUUGGGCGUAAAGAGCUCGUAGGCGGCCUGUUGCGUCCGCUGUGAAAGCCCCGGGGCUUAACCCCGGGUCGGCAGUGGAUACGGGCAGGCUAGAGGUAGGUAGGGGAGAAUGGAAUUCCCGGUGUAGCGGUGAAAUGACGCAGAUAUCGGGAGGAACACCGGUGGCGAAGGCGGGUCUCUGGGCCGAUACUGACGCUGAGACGCGAAAGCGUGGGGAGCGAACAGG